UGGGUGAACUAUGGGGCAUUUGCCCGGAGUUCAUGCUCAGCAUCAGGGUCAAAGCAAAGGGAACUCUGACAAUGAUUCCAUUGUGAACUUGUUCUGGGAAUGCCAUGAUGAUUCUCUAUCAUGUUCCUCGUACACUGCACCAGCACCACUGCUUCCCUUCCCAGUGAGAACCCGAUCAAGCUUUAUCAUGCAGCCCAGAAGGGUGGGGGAAAGAAAAAGAAUUAGGAGAAAAUGUUGUAAAAGUAAUGAGAUAAUAUGAGAAUGUGCUUUGGGAACUGCGAAUCUGGAGUCACUGGUCCAUGAGGAAUCUAGGAUAAGAAGAAGGAAGCUGUGAAGAAUGGUUGGCUAACAGUGCUGGCAAGGAAUUCAGAUCAACAUACCUCUCAAAAGAAUGGAAGUCUCUUAAACUCAGACAGAAUAAAGGAGGCACAGAGAAGUUAUACAAAUUGUCCUGGCACAAAAAACUGAUAAGACUUAAGCCCAGGAGUACUGGCCCAAGAAGAUAUUAGACUAUGGAAAUGAUGUUGGAGAAAAAGCAAAUUUGAGCGAUUUUCUUAUUUGAGUUCAAAAUGGGUCUUAAAGCAGUGGGGACAACUGGCAACAUAACAAUGCAUUUGGCCUGGGAACUGCUAACCAACUCUUAGUUCAAUGGCGGUUCAAGAAGUUUUGCAAAGGAGACAAUAGCCUUGAAGAUAAGGAGCAUAGUGGCCGGCCAUCAGAAGUUGACAACGACCAAUUGAGAGCAAUAUUUGAAGCUGAUCCUCUUACAACUACACGAGAAGUUGCCAAAGAACUCAGUGUCGACCUUCCUAUGGUUGUUCGGCAUUUGAAGCAAAUUGGAAAGGUGAGAAAGCUCCAUACAUGGGUGCUGCAUGAGCUGAGUGAGAAGAAAAAAAUCGUCAUUUUGAAGUUUUGUCUUCUCUUGUUCUUCACAACGGUGAACUAUCUCAUGAUUGGAUUGUGACGUACGAUGAAAAGUAGAUUUUAUAUGACAAUGGGCAAUGACCAGCUCAGUGGUUGGACUGAGAAGACACUCCAAAGCACUUCCAAAAGCCAAAUUUGCACCACAAAAAAAGGUCAUGAUCACUGUUGGGUGGUCUGCUGCCACUCCGAUCCACUACAGCUUUCUGAAUCCUGGCAAAACCAUUACA
rnacentral:lncRNA from 1 species